rnacentral:lncRNA from 1 species
GUUAUAUAGACAUAUGUAAGUAUAUGUAUGCGUAUAUUUUCCUUUUUUUCUUAUGGUGAAGAAAAGAACGCCUCGACGAAUUGGACAACUUAAUGAAAACGUCGGAGUCAUCAUAUGAGAGAUCCAAAAAUAUAGAUAACAAAUUGGAAGAUAUAAAAGCUUGUCGAAAAAAAACACAACUCUUAAAUAAUAAAAUUAAAGAUACAAAUGAUGAGUUAGCCAUAAUAAAUAAAAAAUAUAGCAAUUUAAAAUAUGAAUUACAGGACCUUAUACAAUUAGAAAAGAAUCAAAAUGACAAACUAGAAAAAAUAUAUACAAUGUUACAAAUUAUUCAAAAAUUAAAAGAAGGAACACAUAAAAAUAUAAACGAAGAAGUUUUAAAAAACAAUUUAGAAGAAAUAUAUAGUUUAUAUCAAUAACAUUUUUUUUUUUUUUUUUUUUUUUUUUUUAUAACAUAUAUAUAUAUAUAAUCAUAUUUAUAAUAGUGUCCUACAUGUGCUGGAAGUUUAUAAACAUUUUGAUGUAUCUUAGAUAGUUAAUAUAUGAUGUUCUAUAUGAAGGAUGGCCAAUGUGUGAUGAGAUGACCGACAACUUACAUGACUAUAUUAUUUCAUUUAGCCUGUUUUAAGCUUUUCUUAUAAUUUUUCCGUAAUGAUCUUUUUUUGCUCAUAAUAUCUUCAAAUUGUUCAUUGUUUUUAUGAAGAUCAAAUAACUUUUUAGUUAUUAAUUCGGUUUGAUCAUUAAACAUGUAGAUAUCGCCUGUGCUCGACCCUCUAGAUAUUCUUCCGUUUCUGUUAAGGUGCAAAAUAGGUUGUAUAUAUAUAUAUAUAUAUUGUCAAAGAUAAAAAAAAAAAAACUUAUAUGUACAUGCAGCUAGCUUUAUGUAGAUUUUUAUAAGAUCACAUUUUUUUUUAAAUUAUUCACACGCUCGUGCAUGCGCGUGUUCAUGCACACACGUACUUAUAAUUAACAUUUUUUUUUUUUUUUUUUUUUUUUUUUUUUUUUUUAAACAAUGUAACAAUAUUUAACUCUAGAACAUUAGCAUUUUGUUAAAUAACAACUUUUGUUUUAUUCUGUGACUAGUAUAACUCUUGUUGUGGGUACAACAUUUGCAUUUGCACUUGUUUGUAUUUGCUUUACAUUUGUACUUUACCUGUGGGUGUAAACUACCACGUUUGUUGGUGUAUCAAAAUGAAAAAGGUGCGUACCCCCCUUGAUGUCUAGUCCCCUGUGUAUAAUGUCAGUAGUUACAAGUAUUGUUUGAUCUGCAUUUUUAAAAUAAUUAAGAAUGAUUAAUUGAUCGUCUUUUUUGACUGAAGCAUUAAAAAUAAAUACAUUAUCAAAAGAACCUUUUAACA